ACAAUGCGGAACAAUGUUUUGCAAUUGGAUUGAGAACAACGUACAAACCUUAUCGAUAAACAAUUGGAGGGCAAGUCUGGUGCCAGCAGCCGCGGUAAUUCCAGCUCCAAUAGCGUAUAUUAACGUUGUUGCAGUUAAAAAGCUCGUAGUUGAAAUGAAGGGUAGUUGUGUAAUGAAUACAUUCGUGUAUUUUGUUAUUCAACUACCCUCCUUCUAAAUUCGAUAUAUGAGUAUUAAUUUACUUGUAUAUGGUUUUAGACGUUUACUGUGAGAAAAUUAGAGUGUUCAAAGCAGGCAUUUGCUUGAAUAUAUUAGCAUGGAAUAAUCAUGUAUGAUUUUCAUGAUGUAUUUGAUUGGUUUGGUUCAUGAGAAUAAGAUUAAAAGGGACAGUUGGGGGUAUUCAUAUUCAAUAGUCAGAGGUGAAAUUCUCGGAUUUAUGGAA
rnacentral:rRNA from 1 species